CUCUUGCCUUCUGCCAUGUAAGAUAUGACUGUGCUCCUCCUUCACCUUCUGCCAUGAUUGUGAGGCCUCCACAGCCAUGUGGAACUGGAAGCUGUUUUUCCCUCUUUGGGGUCUCAGAGAGAUUGGUGGCAAGGACUCCUGGGAAGAGAAAAGCUGAAGGACACUCUGGCAAGAGAUGGAGACAGAAACUUGACUGGGCUCAGGAAUAUGUGUUUUUAAAAUUCUCCAGAAGAUUUUAAUGCAGUACAAGUAAGAAGACAGGACUGCAAUUCACAAGAACAGUAUAUCCUGGUGAUUCCUCAGAACAGAACAGACUCAAAAAAAAAAAAAAAAGAAGAAGACAAAAAC
rnacentral:lncRNA from 1 species